rnacentral:rRNA from 1 species
GACGAACGCUGGCGGCGUGCUUAACACAUGCAAGUCGAACGGAAAGGCCCUGCUUUUGUGGGGUGCUCGAGUGGCGAACGGGUGAGUAACACGUGAGUAACCUGCCCUUGACUUUGGGAUAACUUCAGGAAACUGGGGCUAAUACCGGAUAGGAGCUCCUGCUGCAUGGUGGGGGUUGGAAAGUUUCGGCGGUUGGGGAUGGACUCGCGGCUUAUCAGCUUGUUGGUGGGGUAGUGGCUUACCAAGGCUUUGACGGGUAGCCGGCCUGAGAGGGUGACCGGCCACAUUGGGACUGAGAUGCGGCCCAGACUCCUACGGGAGGCAGCAGUGGGGAAGAGUGCACAAUGGGCGGAAGCCUGAUGCAGCAACGCCGCGUGCGGGAUGACGGCCUUCGGGUUGUAAACCGCUUUCGCCUGUGACGAAGCGUGAGUGACGGUAAUGGGUAAAGAAGCACCGGCUAACUACGUG